rnacentral:lncRNA from 1 species
GUGCAUGGAAGCAGACAAAAAAUAAGAAUCUUGAUGAAAAAGAAAAACAACAUAGUAAGAAAGAACAAGCAAAGUAUAUAUAUAUAUGUACUACUACUUUAAUUUGAGUACCAAUUAGGUAAGGUUAACAAAAGAGUACAGUGAACUCAAUUGAAUUAUUUUAAUUAUAUGAUAUUUAAUCUAUUAACUUUAUAUUUUAUUUUAGCAUUAUUAACAUAGUAAUACCUAAAUCAAACGAAAAAAUGUGAAAGAUAGGAACAUGUUUUACCCUCAGC